GAGUAAUUGUGCAGCUUGGAGGGACAGCUGCGGCAGAAGUUGCCCCCAGACCUAUCCUCCCAAUCCACAUUGGUCAGGUUCUUCUCCCAAGGAGCAGGCACCCCGCCUACCACUCCGUGCUUAUCGCCUGUUCCGUGUUUAAGUCACAUCCAUAGAUGCACAAAACAUGUCGAAAUGUGGACCUGGAAGAGCAAACACCCUUUGCGAAGAGGGGCCACACUGAUGGAAUCAAUCUGAAGACUUCCCAAGGAGCUCCAGAGACCUUACUGCACUGGUAUAACACUGAUGCAGGAGAAGGCUGGCAGAAUGUAGCAGCUGCGCACAGCCACGCACAUGGCCAGUGUGAAGGCGGCUCAGUGGAGAUAGGCGAGUUGUCAACAAAUGGUGUGAAGGUGAUUAGAUGCUUCUGUACAAAACAAAGCUCACUCCCCACCCCCACAAGAUCAAUAGCAAUUACGCCGAACUUGCGAACGUUCCAGGAGAAAAAAAAUAUAUGGGAACAGUUUUGUAACCUAGAGCUAGAUGAAGACUGUACAUCACGUGUCCAAUCCACCAACAGAGGGAAAUAAAGAUAAAUUAAAGGUCGUCAAAA
ensembl:lincRNA Gm14329 predicted gene 14329